AUGAAGAGUUUGAUCCUGGCUCAGGAUGAACGCUAGCGGCAGGCUUAACACAUGCAAGUCGAGGGGCAGCGCGUGAGUAGCAAUACUUAUGGCGGCGACCGGCGCAAGGGUGCGUAACGCGUGAGCAACAUGCCCGUAUCAGGAGGAUAACCCGGAGAAAUCCGGACUAAUACUCCAUGGGUCCUUAGGGAGGCAUCUUCCAGAGGAUAAAGAUACGUCGGAUACGGAUUGGCUCGCGUGACAUUAGCUGGACGGCGGGGUAACGGCCCACCGUGGCAACGAUGUCUAGGGGAACUGAGAGGUUGGUCCCCCACACUGGAACUGAGACACGGUCCAGACUCCUACGGGAGGCAGCAGUGAGGAAUAUUGGACAAUGGGCGGAAGCCUGAUCCAGCCAUGCCGCGUGAAGGAAUACGGUCCUAUGGAUUUUAAACUUCUUUUGUACGUGAGCAAUAAGGGUCACGCGUGGCCCGAUGAGAGUAGCGUACGAAUAAGCAUCGGCUAACUCCGUGCCAGCAGCCGCGGUAAUACGGAGGAUGCGAGCGUUAUCCGGAUUCAUUGGGUUUAAAGGGUGCGUAGGCGGUGGCGUAAGUCAGCGGUGAAAUUCACGGGCUCAACCCGUGCCGUGCCGUUGAUACUGCGUGACUGGAAUACGGUUGCCGUGGGAGGAAUGUGUAAUGUAGCGGUGAAAUGCAUAGAUAUUACACAGAACACCGAUUGCGAAGGCAUCUCACGAAGCCGCGAUUGACGCUGAUGCACGAAAGUGCGGGGAUCAAACAGGAUUAGAUACCCUGGUAGUCCGCACAGUAAACGAUGAUGACUAGCUGUGGGCGAUAGACAGUCCGUGGCUAAGCGAAAGCGAUAAGUCAUCCACCUGGGGAGUACGACCGCAAGGUUGAAACUCAAAGGAAUUGACGGGGGCCCGCACAAGCGGAGGAACAUGUGGUUUAAUUCGAUGAUACGCGAGGAACCUUACCCGGGCUUGAAUUGCAACUGAAUGAUGUGGAGACAUGUCAGCCGCAAGGCAGUUGUGAAGGUGCUGCAUGGUUGUCGUCAGCUCGUGCCGUGAGGUGUCGGCUUAAGUGCCAUAACGAGCGCAACCCUUGCUGACAGUUGCCAUCAGGUGAUGCUGGGGACUCUGUCGGGACUGCCACCGUAAGGUGUGAGGAAGGGGGGGAUGACGUCAAAUCAGCACGGCCCUUAUGUCCGGGGCGACACACGUGUUACAAUGGUGGGUACAGCGGGAAGCUACGCGGCGACGCGAUGCAAAUCUCGAAAACCCAUCCCAGUUCGGAUCGGAGUCUGCAACUCGACUCCGUGAAGUUGGAUUCGCUAGUAAUCGCGCAUCAGCCAUGGCGCGGUGAAUACGUUCCCGGGCCUUGUACACACCGCCCGUCAAGCCAUGGAAGCCGGGGGUGCCUGAAGUCCGAGACCGCGAGGAUCGGCCUAGGGCAAAACUGGUAACUGGGGCUAAGUCGUAACAAGGUAGCCGUACCGGAAGGUGUGGCUGGAACACCUCCUU
rnacentral:rRNA from 1 species